AGUAUGGAUGUCUCUUGACUGGUACCGUGUAGACUUUUGAGGGCACACAGGAGUCUGCAGAGAGAUACUGGGGACAUUGAGCAGCAGCAGUGGGGUUGGGAGGCAGAAAUGAGGACAGGAACAUUUACCUUGUGUUUCUCUCAGCUUCUCAGAUGACCAAGAUGGUGCUGCAGAUGGUGCUGAGGAUGGAGAACCCACCAAGCCCCGCUAGGAGCCACCUAGACUGGAUGCAGAGCAUGGUUCAGUGAGUUCUCCAAACCAGCCUCCCAGGAAUGCCAUUCAACAUGGCUGUGAGGAGAAUAAAGAAGAGAGCCUGACUCCUCUCCUGAGGCCCCUUCCCCACCCUGAGCCAGCAGGAUCCACGGAGCAGAGGUCAUCUGUCCCCAGCUUGGCCCACUGAGGCCAGCAUGGCUGGGCCCAGGAUGCUUGUCUCUCAGCUCCCAUCCUGUGUACUUCCACAUUGGUUUAACCAGAGGAAAACCGAAAUCUACAAUUGUCAUAAACACAUUUAAAUGUGCGUAGAAUCAGCCAUACAAAUUGUGAAACAUA
rnacentral:lncRNA from 1 species